rnacentral:rRNA from 1 species
UACGGGGGGGGCAAGCGUUGUUCGGAAUUACUGGGCGUAAAGGGCUCGUAGGCGGCCAACUAAGUCAGACGUGAAAUCCCUCGGCUUAACCGGGGAACUGCGUCUGAUACUGGAUGGCUUGAGGUUGGGAGAGGGAUGCGGAAUUCCAGGUGUAGCGGUGAAAUGCGUAGAUAUCAGGAAGAACACCCGUGGCGAAGGCGGCUCUCUGGGACGGUACUGACGCUGAGACGCGAAAGCGUGGGGAGCGAACAGG